rfam:Asian citrus Psyllid, Diaphorina citri - Florida Strain, whole genome shotgun sequence.
GCCUAGUUAGCUUGAAGGGUAGCGCGUCUGUCUUGUAAGCGCGAGGUCACGGGUUUGAUUCCCGUUCGGGGCA